rnacentral:lncRNA from 1 species
GGGCAUAAUUGAUUUUUACAGACGUGACCCCAUGAUCCUGCUCUCUAGUCCCCAGAUUUUUCCAGGGCUUUUGUCAGAGGUGUUUCCCCUUUGAUUCCCCUUGGUGGUUAGGUUUUAUGGGAUUUUACAGGACAGAUGGCAGCUGCAGGAGUCUUGUACUGUCCCUGACUUGGGUCAUCCCACAGGCCCUGGCACCAUCCUCCUGCCCUUCCUGGCUCUCCUGUCUGUUUCUGCUCCUGCAUCCGAAAGUGAUCAUAGGCUGCCUGUGCCUAGGUCAUUGAUAGUGCAGGGAGAGGAACGCUGAAAGAGGUUGUCCCCGUGUUUGGAGGGUCCACCCUAUCCCAUCCGAACCCUGAAGCUUUCACACAACUCCUGUUGCUCUCCUGCCAGCCCUUGAGGAGUCCGGCGCUUGCUUGGCUGCCACAUGAAAGUCAGUGCGGGGGGGCAUCAUGCUUAAGUCUUUCUCAGCUUGACCUCUCUUUGCAGAAACCAGGCUCUGUGUUCUGAGGGGUAGAUCAGGAAGGGAAUGUGAUAUGUAAUGAGUCAUGGUGUGUCGCAGUGGAUAGCACAGUUUCGAAUAAGUGCAAUAUUGGCAUAUAAACAUGAGGGAGACUUUGAGGUUGGGGUGAGCAGGGCUGACCCCGUGUGUGUGUGUGUGUGUGUGUGUGUGUGUGUGUGUGUAUGUGUAACUUGGGGACAGGAUAGGGUAGCAUCUUUACAUCUUUACAUGUCAUUGGCCUGGAAUAGGGGGUCCUGAAGGGUUUGUCGUAAGAAAGAGAAAGUGCUCAUUGCUGCAAGGGGAGCACAGCCGGGUUCUGAGAGGCAAAACACUUCCCUCACUUCCCACCCAAGAGUUUCGCCUGUUCUCUCGACCCUCUGAGGUGUGCAUUGGUGUCACUCACUGGCCACCAUUCCAGCUCUUAAUUCCUCUGCCUUUUGUGCUGGCCUUUGGGGCUCCCCUGAGGAUGACUGGUUCUCAGGUUGCCCCUGGAGGAAUGGGUGGAGUUGUAAGAUCAGGAAUAAAGCUAGAGAGGGAGGACCAAGGGGAAGUCACUGAUGCAGCCGCCGUCUAGCCCAUCCCACCCCGAUUGAGAGGUCGCUUUUUCCUGUUGAACAUGUUGGAUAGUGGAAUGUGUUAUAAGAAGUGAUAUGUGUGGCUUCUUGUCAUUGCAGGAUUGUCAGCUGACCUCUGUCCUGUGUGCCCAGUGGCCCCAGGUGACGUGUCUUCAAGAAGAGGCUGAGCUGCGGUGCUUGUAAGGUCUCAGCCUUAGAUCCAAGGACAGUCCAAGGAAGUCCUAAGACCAUGGAGUUGGUGAUCUGGGAUCUGGGUUUGCUGAUAUUUCUCACCGUGAAUCUCUUGGUGGUGUUUGUGGGCACGAGAGGGGCAGAGAAUGGAGAGUGAGGCUACCACAUGAAGCGUCACCAGAGCUGCUCCCUGCUGCCUGCUCAGAGCACCCCGGAUCCACUGUUCAAUCUGCACAAGAUUCGGGGUCCAGACAUGGGAGACUUCAGCUGCCUCAGAGGACCGUGGACAGGGAAGGCCAGCCUCGCAUCCCUCUGUCCAUGCCUGGAAUGACUUUAAUAACCAAGAGUUUUAUUUUUGAAUUUGUAGCUGUCGUUCACUUUUUACCCACCCAUUCAAUAAACCUUACAGAAUUGC